UACGAAGGGGCUAGCGUUGCUCGGAAUCACUGGGCGUAAAGGGUGCGUAGGCGGGUCUUUAAGUCAGGGUGAAAUCCUGGAGCUCAACUCCAGAACUGCCUUUGAUACUGAAGAUCUUGAGUUCGGGAGAGGUGAGUGGAACUGCGAGUGUAGAGGUGAAAUUCGUAGAUAUUCGGAAGAACACCAGUGGCGAAGGCGACUUACUGGACACAUAUUGACGCUGAGGUGCGAAAAGCGUGGGGAGCAAACAGG
rnacentral:rRNA from 1 species